CAGUCGCGUUGUCUGAGACUCAGCCUUGCUUGCUUGGUGUACUUCUCAGUUAACGGGUCAACAUCAAUUUUGGUUGGUGGAUAAAGGUAGAGGAAAUGUGGCAUCUUCGGGUGUGUUAUAGUCCUUUACUGCAUACAUUGACUGGGGAUUGAGGAACGCAGCACGCCCUUUGGCCGGGGGUUCGCCCUCACGUAACGUGCUUAGGAUGUUGGCAUAAUGGCUUUAAGCGACCGUCUUGAAACACGGACCAAGGAGUCUAACAUAUAUGCGAGUGUUU
rnacentral:rRNA from 1 species